rnacentral:lncRNA from 1 species
UCUUUUUCCAGUUUCCUUAUUGUGGUAUCUGUCUACCUUGUGCUUGGCUUCCUAUAUCAGCGUUUUGUCGCUGGAGCAAAGGGAUUUGAGCAAAUACCGAACUUUAACAUGUGGAGAGCAUUUGGAAACUUGCAAGCAGAUGGAUGCAAUUUUAUUUGUCGUUGUGCAGAAGUUAGACGCUCCCCAAGAUACAAGCCUGUAGAAGAUGCCUUAUCUGAUGAUACAGCACCGCCUGAUGAUGAUAGUCUACUACCAAUGUAAAGACAGUUCCAUUCAGUCAUGUAUCGUAGGAAUCUGCAGCACAACUGUGUGUCUAGUAUAGGUAUAUAGUGAUAGUAUACAUAGUAGUUAACAGGACUUUAUUAAGGACGUAAAAAUAUUUUAAAUUCUUAAAUAAAAGUAUGUGUGAUGAGCUCAUGGGUGUAAUGUUUUCCCAUUUCAGAUCAUGUCAUUCUCUAGUGUACCGUUUCUUUCUUUAAUGGUUGUGCAAGUGAAGUCAGACACUACUUAAAAAAAACAACUUAUUCUCGAGAGAAUGAAGCAUGGUCUGAAAACAAUAUGUUCAAGCUAAUAGCACACUGUGACAGUCAUAUACCACCACUACCAGAAUGCUUUGCAUACUUUCUUUUGCCAGUCUUUCAACAUAAAUACAUCUAUUUCAGAAAAGGUUAUAAAUAUUUUGUUGCAUGUUGCUUACUAAGCUAGCUUGAAAUGUUCAAACAGUAAUAAUUAUUCAUAAAUGUAGAGCGCAUGCAGUACAACCAUGAAAUAAAAAGUAACAAAGUUGAUAUUGACAAGUAGUAGCUAUUUAGUGACUAAUAGUAAGUUUCUAUCACUCAACCAGAACAUCAUCGUACAAAGACAAAUACACAAGAGACCAUUUGUGUCUUGUUUAAUAAAUGUUCUGGUUGAGUGCUAGCAACUAUUACUCACUAAUACAGUAGAGUCGUUUUCAUAUGACCNUGAAAGAAUAGGCAAACUAAUAGUUAGUAGUAGACUCUAAACCAAUGAUUUUCUUUUGUUCUUUAUCAACUAUUACAAACUAAAUGGUCUAUUUUCUUUCACGGUCAUAUGAAAAUCACUCUAGCUACAGUGUACUAUUUGUCAGUAUCAACUUUGUUUUUAUUUUAUGGUUUUACUGCAUGCGCUCUAUUAAAUAAUGUAAGCACAGAAGAAAUUAUGCCAGAAAAAUAUGCAGACAAAGUUUAGGAAAAUUUCAUGUUGUUGUGAGUGUUGUUGUGAGCUUUUUGACAGGGUGAUAAAGGGGGGGGGGGGUUAUUACAUUAGAGACCUUUAGAUCUGACGACAAGUAAAAAAACAAGUAUGAGUAUGAGUUUCUAACUUUUCAAGAUUGGCACUGUCAUUUCGUAUUCGUGGUUGUGUACGUAGAUUAAAACUUUAAAUUGUAAAAAAUUGGAAAUCGACUACGAUUUAGUGUUAACUACGUGUACAGGACCAAUUUUAAAACUGGUACUCGUACUUGAUUUCGUACUCGUCGUCAUAUCUAAAGGUCGCUAUUGUUGCUUCUACCACGCGGUGGUUGGCUUAUGUUUGUAAAGCUUUCUAUGUGAUCCCCCCUCCCCACCCCCCAAUGGGCUAAUGAAUGAAAAAUGAAAACCCCCUAAAGUACAUUAAGGAACAUUGGGGACUCGAAGAAAAAUGUUAUGAAGGGACCGCCUACCAUUUUGCUAUUCAAUUUAUGUAACAAUUAUUUGUAGGAGUCUAAAGAUUCUGAUAGUGGUAAUACCUCACGUCCUAUUUGAAAGGACUGAAUGAAUGUGCAUUAAUAAGCCCUUUGCAGCUCAGUAAUCACGUGCUGAUUAAUUCACUGAGAGCAAUUAAUGAAUGAACAUCUUGAUUCCCAUGGGUGAAAUAUACUGGUGAGCAAACAAAAUUUCUACAACCUAAAAGAAUCAAAAUAAAAUUUAAAAAAAUAAUAAAAAAUAAAUAAAUAAAAUUUUUCUCACCAGUUAUACGUUAGUACAGACAUGUGACCAUUACUGCAAGGGACCUAUUUUCCAGUCAAAGUCAGACCUUCUCCACAAAGGGUGAAGAUUACGUCUCCUACCCUCCCUCCCACACAAUGCAUAUCCCCAGUCAUCCCAAGAAAUGUGGUGCAGAAUGCACUUACCCCUCCCCACCCCGCCUACCCCAAGAUAUACAGUCUACACUGAUGUAUUACAGUUUAGUCCUUGGUGGAGAUUGAACUAGGAAUAUGUCUGAAAAUACUUCCUGAAAACACAUCAUUUCUGCCAAAAAGAUUGUUUUUAAUAAAGUAAAAAAAGAGUUAAUGAAAUAAAAGUAAAAAAGACAAUACCAUCCAGCUGAUCUGAGAAAAUCGGACUCAAAAAAGUUUGCCAACUGUGUCACUUUUCCUCAAGCUCUUAUAGACUAUAUGAAAGAGGGUGUGCCUCAGUUUAUCAGUUAUAGGAAGCAACAAUGCUUUCAUUAGAAAGUAUAUCGAAAUUAGUGAUCUUCCAAAAUUCAUUAUAGUAACAAAUGAUUCAAAGCUACAGCUGUUUGAAAUUAGAAAAGUUUGUAUGCAAACCAUGGUCAACCAUGUUUGAUUGACCAUGUUCUAACAUGUUUUAAUCAUGUUUAACCAUGGUUUGACCAUGAUCCUGACGUGGGGGCAACAACCAAGGACCUACCAGCCUUGCUAUCAUGUUUUCAGUACAUUUCAAAUGCUUAUAAAUCUUCAGGGAUUUAAUAUAUGAUAAGACAACAGAACGUUCUGAAAUUGUUAAUAAUUUAGACAUGGUCUUUCUUAUGAAAAUAUAGUUUUGAUAUCAUUAAAUAAUAUUGUUCAUGGUGCUUA